AACGAACGCUGGCGGCAUGCUUAACACAUGCAAGUCGAACGAGACCUUCGGGUCUAGUGGCGCACGGGUGUGUAACGCGUGGGAAUCUGCCCUUUGCUACGGAAUAACUCAGAGAAAUUUGUGCUAAUACAGUAUAAUGUCGUAAGACAAAAGUAUUAUCGUCAAAGGAUGAGACCGCGUAGGAUUACCUUGUUGGUGGGGUAAAGACCUACCAAGGCGACGAUCUUUAGCUGGUCUGAGAGGAUGAUCAGCAACAGUGGGACUGAGACACGACCCAGACACGUACGGUAGGCAGCAGUGGGGAAUAUUUGACAGUGGGCGAAAGCCUGAACCAGCAAUGCCGCGUGAGUGAUGAAGGCCUUAGGGUUGUAAAGCUCUUUUACCAGAGAUGAUAAUGUCAGUACCUGGAGAAUAAGCUCCGGCUAACUCCGUGCCAGCAGCCGCCGUAA
rnacentral:rRNA from 1 species